CGCGUAGGCGGACUUUCAAGUCGGAUGUGAAAUCUCCGGGCUCAACUCGGAGCCUGCAUCCGAUACUGUUGGUCUUGAGUAUAUCAGAGGAAAGCGGAAUUCCAGGUGUAGCGGUGAAAUGCGUAGAUAUCUGGAAGAACACCAGUAGCGAAGGCGGCUUUUCUGGGGUAAUACUGACGCUGAAGCGCGAAGGCUAGGGGAGCAAACA
rnacentral:rRNA from 1 species